UCUUCUCAUAUGCUUCCCUUCUGCUCUUCUUCAAAAACUGCUGCUCUGGCUUUUCACCACCAGCACUUGGGGAUUUUCAUCCAUCUUGAGCACUGAGCAAGACCACGAGCUCAACCACUACAACAAACCUGAUGGGAUAUUACUGAUUUGAUGUCUCAUGGAGAUCUCAGAGGAGCUUGGUUGCAGCUGGAAAUGGAACUGAACAGAAAAAAAACUUCAACAGCAAAAACUGGACGAGGUGGGGGAAAGAAUUAAAGCUGCUCCCCAGGCAUGAUAAUUCAUGAAACUUCCAAUUUUGGAGACUUGACACCUUUAUUGCAGCAGCUGGUGCUAACUGCUGUAGGAGACUGUGGGACAGCUGAUGUAUUGCACCCAGUCAAUUUUCUCCAACCUAUGGAGCUCAGAGUCCUGGCACAAGGACCUUCCACUCUGACCGCCAAGCUUUCCCCCAGAGAACAAGCUAUGUUGGCAACACCGAUGACCCCCCAGUCACAAAAGGACAAGCCAAAGCUUUGUGUUAUCUGAAUUUCACAAAAUGUCUACUUACCCCCUGCUUUGAGCAGGCUGUAAAGAAAGGGAAAGAUGUUGUUACUGGUUCUGGAAUGAGUCCUUCACACCAGCAGACUGGGAUGGAUCCAGCUGGUGAAAGAAACAUCAUGGAAACAAAAUCCACAGAGGAUCCACAUGGAAAAGAAUUCCUGAAGCCAAACACCAACAGAUCUCGGUAGUAUGUUGCAAACCAGACUUGAUAAAUAUGGCACUGCUGUAGGGCACAGACAAGGUUCAAAUCCUUCACCUUCUUUAAUUUACACAUGGGGGUGAACCUAAAUCUGCCACAUCCUUAAGUGCUCUGUCUGAAACCAGUGCAUGCAGCUCUUCCAGUUUCUCCUUUUGGAGUUGUUCUCUUCUGAGUAAAAAACCCAGCAUUUCAAGAAAGAAGAAAUGAUUCUCCAGCCUUAGAAGCUGAAAUCUUACAGCAGUUGGGCUGUUGUUAUCUAUAUGGCUCUUGUGCAUCAGGGAGAGGAAGUUCUAGUAGAGGCAUGCUGUGUCUCAGGCAUCCUGGCCAUGCAUUGUUGACUGUCUCAGAGAACACUGGAGACAAGAAUGAGAAGGCAUGGGAAAUAUCACCAUCAGCACUCACGGAUUUCAUUGCCUCUUUGCUUGUCAAGACACUGCUGAUUGAAAAACUGUUUUGUUUCCUGCCCUCAAAACCAGAGCCCAGCAGCUUGGCAGUAUGUUGGCAGGGUCUGGCAAAGAGCAGCCUGAGGAAGCGUCUGAUACAGCCAAGGACAUUAAAGAUUCUCAAGAUCCUCUUGGGGGUCUUGCUGAAGAGUUCCUGUGGCACUGAUGUUCCAUCCAGUCUGGCAGGAUGCAGUAACAUCACUGGCAAGUGUGGCCAGGUGCUGCAGCUCCCAUGUAGCCCACAGGAGGACAUCAGCCAUUCUGCAUAAUGCCCAGUGCAUAGCUAUCUCUGUCUCACCUUGGCUUUGAAGAAAAACUUGGAACUUUUUAUUCCAGUGGUUGCUUUCUCUUUGCUGACAAAAAUUAAUAUACUUUUCAGUUUUUUCAGCAUUUUCCCCUUCUUUUAUUCAUUCUUUUCUUUUUCUCCAAUUGCUACUCAUUAUGAUUUUAUGUUUGCCAUAUCUGAAUGCAUUUGGGAUUGUGUUAUGUGUUUUACAAAUAGCUGCUUGACUGCCUGUAAUGUAUGGACUUUGUGGCUUCACUUUACUGUGGUGAAAACUAAAGGAAGGAAAAAAAAGAACCAAAGACUACACAGAAGGAGCUUUGGUGUCCAAAUCAAUCUUGCAACUGGGCAGGAAGUCCCUCUCCGUGAUCAUGCCACAGGCUGUUAAGCAGAGAGGUUGCACAAGUCAUUUAGAAAUUAGAAAAGAGCAUCAUGUGUUUCCUGUGCAGAUCUAAAACUGGAGAGGUCCUUAGCGACCCCCAGCUCCUGCCCUGAGCUGCUGCAUGGGCCCAGCAAACUGUAGCCUGUCUGUGCUGCUGCUCCUCAACACAAAUGUACCUCUGGGGCACCCGCUAGUUGCUCCUCCUGGAAAGCUGGGCCUGAUGCACUGUGUCUGACCUUCAGAAUUGCAGGUCUGCUUGUACAAGGCCUUAAGAGAAAACAAAAAGCAGUAUUAUUAAGAUGUUUUUUUUCUUUUGUGUGUUCAUCAUUUUUCAGCUUCAGUUUCAGUGUCUGUCAUGGUGGAAGCAAAGUUAUCUCUGCACUAUGUACAAGCUCAUGAAUCACUAGGGCUGCUUGGGAGGUACGUGAUAAAUGGUCCACAGUAUAUACAGUCAAGAGGAGACUAAUAAGUCCAUGCAUACUUUAUUGGCUGUUUAUCUCACAGGUUUAUUGCUUAGGAGUUAAAGAACCUGAGGUUUAGAUGUAAACUACUUUUCAAAAGCCAUUGACAUGAGGCCAAAUUUUCAAGUGUUCAGCACUUUAACACAAAAAGACUUUCAAAUACUAAAAUAGAAAACAUUCGAAAGUCUCUUUUCAACAAAAUAUAUAAUUUUUUCUUCAAAAUGUGCUUUUUAUUUUUUUCUUCAGGAAGAACUAUAGCUUUUCAUAAUUUACAUGUGUUUCUCAGAAAUUCCUGAAGUCCAAAUUAUUCUGCAACAAAAAGCCUUAAUUGCUUUUCAAGUAAAAGUUCAAUAGCAAUAAAUACAUGCCUUUGCUAA
rnacentral:lncRNA from 1 species